CAAAGAGAAGGGACUCACACCCCGACCACUCGCUCCCAAAGCCAGCAUUCUGAAUUAAACUACUCUUU
rnacentral:tRNA from 1 species